rnacentral:rRNA from 1 species
UACGUAGGGCGCAAGCGUUGUCCGGAAUUAUUGGGCGUAAAGAGCUCGUAGGCGGUGUGUCGCGUCGGUCGUGAAAACUUGGGGCUUAACCCUGAGCUUGCGGUCGAUACGGGCAUCACUGGAGUUCGGCAGGGGAGACUGGAAUUCCUGGUGUAGCGGUGAAAUGCGCAGAUAUCAGGAGGAACACCGGUGGCGAAGGCGGGUCUCUGGGCCGAUACUGACGCUGAGGAGCGAAAGCGUGGGGAGCGAACAAG